rnacentral:rRNA from 1 species
CUAAGAUCCUUAAAUUCAAAGAAUUUGGCGGUAAUUAAGUCUUUUUAGAGGAACCUGUUCUGUAAUUGAUAAUCCACGAUUGAUUUUACUUUAAUUUUACUUGUAUAUCUCUGUCAAUGAAUGUAUUAUAAGAUUAAUUUUCUUUAAUUUUUGGGAAUAAAUGUUAGGUCAAGGUGCAGUCUUUUAAAGUAGAAAUGGGUUACAAUAAUUUUUUUUGGAUAUUUUUAUGAAAUUUGAAAUUUAAAAUUGGAUUUAAUAGUAAUUUUUUUUAAAUUAAAAUAAUGAUUUUAGCUCUUAAUUAU